rnacentral:rRNA from 1 species
AGAGUAGCCGCGGGAAUACAGAGGGUGCGAGCGUUAAUCGGAUUUACUGGGCGUAAAGCGUGCGUAGGCGGCUUCUUAAGUCGGAUGUGAAAUCCCUGAGCUCAACUUAGGAAUUGCAUUCGAUACUGGGAAGCUAGAGUAUGGGAGAGGAUGGUAGAAUUCCAGGUGUAGCGGUGAAAUGCGUAGAGAUCUGGAGGAAUACCGAUGGCGAAGGCAGCCAUCUGGCCUAAUACUGACGCUGAGGUACGAAAGCAUGGGGAGCAAACAGGAUUAGAUACCCCAGUAGUCCCUGUCUCUUAUACA